GUAAACGCCCGCGGUACCUUGACCGUGCUAAGGUAGCGUAAUCAGUUGGCUUUUAAAUGGAGUCAGGAAUGAAUGGAAGAACCAGGCUUAGCUGUCUCGCAAUUAUUUUAUUGAAUUUACUGUCUAAGUGAAAAAGCUUAGUAUUAAUAAAGGGACGAGAAGACCCUUAGAAUUUUGUUCAAUAUAGGAUUUAUUCCCUAUAGGAUUUUGUUGGGGCGACAUAGAAAUAUAUAAGAACUUUCUUUAAUUACAAGCCGAUUGUAUUAAGUAAGAAUAAAUUACCUGAGGGAUAACAGCAUAAUUCUAUAAAUGAGUUUGUGACCUCGAUGUUGGACUAGGAAACUAGCAAGCUAGUCGUUUGUUGUGUGAGUUCUGUUCGAAC
rnacentral:rRNA from 1 species